rnacentral:rRNA from 1 species
AUUGAACGCUGGCGGCAGGCCUAACACAUGCAAGUCGAACGAGUGGCGGACGGGUGAGUAAUGUCUGGGAAACUGCCUGAUGGAGGGGGAUAACUACUGGAAACGGUAGCUAAUACCGCAUACCAUCGGAUGUGCCCAGAUGGGAUUAGCUAGGAGGUGGGGUAAAGGCUCACAUAGGCGACGAUCGCUAGCUGGUCUGAGAGGAGGCACAGCCAAACUGGAACUGAGACACGGUCCAGACUCCUACGGGAGGCAGCAGUGGGGAAUAUUGCACAAUGGGCGAAAGCCUGAUGCAGCCAUGCCGCGUGUAUGAAGAAGGCCUUCGGGGUGUAAAGUACUUUCAGCGAGGAGGCGUUACUCGCAGAAUAAGCACCGGCUAACUCCGUGCCAGCAGCCGCGGUAAUAC